rnacentral:rRNA from 1 species
GACGAACCGUGCGAACGUUAUUCGGAAUCACUGGGCUUAAAGGGCGCGUAGGCGGGCUUACAAGUCAGGGGUGAAAUCCCACGGCCCAACCGUGGAAGUGCCUUUGAUACUGUGGGCCUCGAGGGGGAUAGGGGCGUGCGGAACUCAGGGUGGAGCGGUGAAAUGCGUAGAUAUCAGGAGGAACACCGGUGGCGAAAGCGCUCAUCUGGCCCAAUACUGACGCUGAAGCACGAAAGCUAGGGGAGCAAACGGG